rnacentral:lncRNA from 1 species
GCACACACCACUUCACUCUCCACUCCGAGGCUCAGGGAGCAAGUGCCUGGCAUGGGGGACGCCGAAAGAAGCCUGUUUGUGUGCUGCGGCCGUGCUGUGACUUUGGAUCUUGUCUUUCAGCCGGCGCCUCGGUUCCUGCCCAGCUGGAUUUGGGGGGCAGCAUUGCCUGGCGCAGGGAGAUCAAAUGAGACUGCAAAGAAGCAUAAAAUGAAUAGACAAUCCAACCAACCAAAGGAAAUUGCUUUGGAGAUGAGGAAACAAACUCUUAUGGAGACCUAAGAGACUGAAGACAUCUGGCGUGGACUACUCUGAUGGUAAAAUUGAAAGUACACCUAAAUUUGCUUUGUUACAGGAUUCUCUUCAGAGGACAAGAGAAGAUGUUACAUUCUCUGCAUGAGGACAAUUCUGCAGCAUCAAAAUCGAAUAAUAUUUGUUUUCUGGCAGCAGAAUUUUGUAUCAUAUUUCUAAAGACAGUAAGCACUUGGGUGGACGUCAAUGAAUACUAAACACUAAUUGAUCUGAUACAGCCGUAUGCACAUACACAGAUAUACAUGGUGGCUUGUAAUGGUUGAAAAAUUACGGUUUGGUUUUAUUAAAAGAUCUGUCACUUUUAGGUCAGAGUGGGAUUUUGGAGGGAUAGUCUCCCACAAUAGAAAACUACCCUGACAACAGUGGUGUUUUGAGGUUGUUUGUUGUUUGGCUUCUUGAUGAUGCUUAGCUAAGGAGACACUUCCUUUCAGAUUCUGUCUUCCAAACCCCAGGGCUCUGUUCUGGGCAGUUCAGCCUAAUGGAAUUAAGCCUGACAUGUUUCAACUCUAUUUCUUGAUAAAAUAAACAUAAAACAAUGGUUUAGAUUUCGAAUAAAACUCUUGAAGCAUGGGGUA